rnacentral:rRNA from 1 species
CCGGUUUGGAAAGCCCCGGGCUCAACCUGGGAACGGCAUCCGGAACUGUCAGGCUAGAGUGCAGGAGAGGAAGGUAGAAUUCCCGGUGUAGCGGUGAAAUGCGUAGAGAUCGGGAGGAAUACCAGUGGCGAAGGCGGCCUUCUGGACUGACACUGACACUGAGGUGCGAAAGCGUGGGUAGCAAACAGGAUUAGAUACCCUGGUAGUCCACGCCGUAAACGAUGUCGACCAGCCGUUGGGUGCCUAGCGCACUUUGUGGCGAAGUUAACGCGAUAAGUCGACCGCCUGGGGAGUACGGCCGCAAGGUUAAAACUCAAAUGAAUUGACGGGGGCCCGCACAAGCGGUGGAGCAUGUGGUUUAAUUCGAUGCAACGCGAAGAACCUUACCUACCCUUGACAUCGACAGAAGCCGAGAGAGAUCUUGGUGUGCCUUCGGGAACUGUCAGACAGGUGCUGCAUGGCUGUCGUCAGCUCGUGUUGUGAAAUGUUGGGUUAAGUCCCGUAACGAGCGCAACCCUUGUCCUUAUUUGCCAGCGCGUAAUGGCGGGAACUCUAAGGAGACUGCCGGUGACAAACCGGAGGAAGGUGGGGACGACGUCAAGUCAUCAUGGCCCUUACGGGUAGGGCUACACACGUGCUACAAUGGCCGGUACAAAGGGCAGCGAGCUCGCGAGAGUCAGCGAAUCCCUUAAAGCCGGUCUCAGUCCGGAUCGGAGUCUGCAACUCGACUCCGUGAAGUCGGAAUCGCUAGAAUCG